rnacentral:rRNA from 1 species
UACGUAGGGUGCAAGCGUUGUCCGGAAUUAUUGGGCGUAAAGAGCUCGUAGGCGGUCUGUCGCGUCGGCUGUGAAAACCCGGGGCUCAACCCCGGGCCUGCAGUCGAUACGGGCAGACUGGAGUGCGGUAGGGGAGACUGGAAUUCCUGGUGUAGCGGUGAAAUGCGCAGAUAUCAGGAGGAACACCGGUGGCGAAGGCGGGUCUCUGGGCCGUAACUGACGCUGAGGAGCGAAAGCGUGGGGAGCGAACAGG